UACGUAGGGUGCAAGCGUUGUCCGGAAUUAUUGGGCGUAAAGAGCUUGUAGGCGGUUUGUCGCGUCUGCUGUGAAAUUUCGGGGCUCAACCCCGAACUUGCAGUGGGUACGGGCAGUCUAGAGUGUGGUAGGGGAGACUGGAAUUCCUGGUGUAGCGGUGAAAUGCGCAGAUAUCAGGAGGAACACCGAUGGCGAAGGCAGGUCUCUGGGCCAUAACUGACGCUGAGAAGCGAAAGCAUGGGGAGCGAACAGG
rnacentral:rRNA from 1 species